AGAAGCUGCUGAGUCAGCCGAAGUCCGGAGGACUCUGUCCUUUUCUGAGGGAGCUGGCAGCUGAAGGACAGGCCUGGACAGGGCCUUGAUGCUGGGACUUUGUGUCCCGCUGUGUCACCAGAGCAGCUAAGGAGCCCUGCCUGGCCCUUUCCGUGGAGUCUCAGACCAGAUUCCUCAAGCAUACUCCUUCUUCAAUACCUGAGUGCCUGUUUACACAGCACAGGUCUCACCUGGGAAGCCCAUCUGCAUCACGGCCUCCUCACGUGAGACUCAACCACUUAACUGAACUGAUUUCUUUCAGGACUGAGUAACUGAGCUGAUGACAUGGAACACUCUACCAACUUUGCUUCUGGAAUAAUACAGCGUGAGCUUCUUGACCAUGUGGCUGGGGAAGGACAAGCCUCUAGACCAUGCAGCAGCAGUGCGGGGUCCUAGCCAUGGGGUUUGAAAGAAUGCAGAAGGACCCCCACUGGCCUGCUAUGAGGAAGUGCCAUGCAGCUUUGGAUUAAGAAUGGGAGCCUAGCUGAGCUAUGGACUUCUGUUUUCUUUUCCUGAGAUACGGUACCCCUACUGGCCUGGUGUGGCAAGGGGAGGCAGGACUGUGUGUGUGUGUGCUUGUAGGUGUUUUAAAGGGACUUUGUUAUUUAAUGGCAACAUUCUGCCAUUAUCCUGAACCUGUAUAACUUCUGAAUAAAUAGUUCCUUUCCUUUUUACCAAA